AUCGAUUUGGUGAUAGACGAUAGAGAAGGAGGAUCAAAAUCAGACAGUGAAGAUAUAACAAGAUCAGCAAAUCUAACCGACCAGCCCUCUUGGAACAGAGAUCAUGAUGACACGGCAUCUACUCGUUCAGGAGGAACCCCAGGCCCUUCCAGCGGUGGCCACACAUCACACAGUGGGGACAACAGCAGUGAGCAAGGUGAUGGCUUGGACAACAGUGUAGCUUCCCCCAGCACAGGUGACGAUGAUGACCCUGAUAAGGACAAAAAGCGUCACAAAAAGCGUGGCAUCUUUCCCAAAGUAGCCACAAAUAUCAUGAGGGCGUGGCUGUUCCAGCAUCUAACACACCCUUACCCUUCUGAAGAACAGAAAAAGCAGUUGGCGCAAGACACGGGACUCACCAUCCUUCAAGUGAACAAUUGUAUUACAGAGAGCCAUACAAGGGAGGAAAAGGGCAAAGGUUUAUUAAUGCCCGGAGAAGAAUAGUGCAGCCCAUGAUAGACCAGUCCAACCGAGCAGUAAGUCAAGGAACACCUUAUAAUCCUGAUGGACAGCCCAUGGGAGGUU
rnacentral:sRNA from 1 species